CUUCAUUAUACAACAUGUAGGCCUAGAUAUUCUAGACUAAUUGAUUGUAAAGUGGUUCCGGUUUGAAAUGGGCAAAAGGAGUUAGGAGUGUUGUCCCAAAUCGAAGCUAUCCGAGUGAUGAAAUUUCGGUUACAGGAAGGGUCGGCACAGAGAUUCCGCUGGACCUGAAUUCCGAGCAGUUCGAUCAGUUCCUUUGGGUACUAUUUCCUCUCUUGGGGACAGUGCCAAUUGAUAUGCUCUAUGCGACAAAAUCAAAAAUUCUCUUCCCCUUUGCUGAACGCACACCCAUGGGUAUCAAGACAUUCUUCAAAACCAAUAAGCAUGUGUGCAGUGUGUACCUGAGGCCACAUGUCAAGUUGACAGUUAUUCGGAUGCUGUUCUUUAUACUGGGUGCAAAUUUGAUUCUGCUUUUGCCAGUACUUCCACUGCCAGAAGGCCAAACCGUCCAGCCCUUGUAACGUCAACACGUACAUGUACUUCCACCAUUAGUCGGCCGCCUCAACUAUCAACUGAAGACACAGCACCAAAUCAGUCAGCUUCAGCAAUACCUACUUUUAGUCAGCCAAAUCGUCCAGCCCUGGUUAUGUCACCUAAUCAGUCAGCUUCAGCAAUACCUACUUCUAGUCAGCCAAAUCGUCCAGCCUUAGUUACGUCACCUAAUCAGGGGGAAACCCAGUUCACAUAUGAACCAGCUGAUACACCAACAGUGUUAUUACGAAGACCCAGAAGAGGAGUUACAUCUGUGACACAAAAUCUCCUGUCAGCUGUAGCUACAGACCAUUUGGUUAGUAUUUCUUAGCUGACUAGUAUUAGGGUUGGAUGAAAAGUUAUGAGGCUAAUUUAAGCGAAAGUGAUGAGUGAUCCCAGAUUAAUGCCAGAUAAACUUGGAUGGAGAUAUUUCAUCAGAGUUUACCCCAAUGGUUCCUGAUCCAGAUGAAGGGCAGAUAUUGGAUGUCACACCCCAUGAUGAUGCUGACCUGAUAGCUGCCCUCGCGGAGUCCCUGAGAAGUGAACCGGAAGUCAAGUCAGCAGAGGAUUUAAUUGUCAGCUUCAUAAUGGCAACGAGAGAACCAACUGGAGACAAAAAACAGUCGGUUAUCAUCAGAAGAUCUGCUGUGUGGAAAAGUUCUCUCCGUGCAACAAGGGGCACUUUUCACUUUUCCUGGAUUCCUCGGGUGAGGUUUGCUGGUGAGGAGGCCGAGGAUUAUGGAGGUCCCACCCGUGAGUUUUUUCGCCUUUGAUGGAGGACAUCCUCAAGAAUAGCGGUCUUUUGGGGGGCCAUGACGAGAAGAAAUCCUUCCUUCUCGAUAACGAGGCGGCUGACAGCAACCAAUAUUUCAAGGCUGGUCAGUUCGUGUCCUGGAGCCUCUUACAUGGUGGAAAUGGACUGCAAUACCUAAGUCCAUCAGUAUGGCAUCUAAUGACGAGGAUGGAUGUGGAGGGCGAUUCUGAUGAUAUCAGUGAAAUCCCGGAUGCCACAGCUUAUAUCAACCUCGAUAAGGGUCCGUGCUGGGGUGGAUCAAUUUAUAAAAGGGAUGGAUAGUAUUGGCGAGUUAUUCACCAAAUACAUAAUGAGGAACCCCAGGGAUUUUAAAUCCAUAAUGGCGUCAUCUGACAGAAAGCUGACUUUUGAGCAGCUUUUUCGAAUAUGAAAAGUCUAAUGUCGAAGGGCUGAGGGAGAUGGAGGACAACACGAUUUACUUGUUUGAACAAUUCUUAGUGGAGUUAGAAAAUGGGGCAGCGGAGACAGACGUUACUCUAAGAAACAUUCUGACAUUUAUGACCGGGGCUGAUACCAUCCCUCCCAAUGGAUUCGGAAAACAGAUAACGAUUUGAUCGGGAGAAGGACAAGCGCCUUCCCUAUGCAUCCACCUGUGCAUUGGACUUUUUUCUACCGAGAGGCUUGGAUAUGGACAAGUCUGAAGAGUUCGAGUCACAAAUGAACCUUGCGAUCAAACUUGGAUUGGCUGCUGGGUUUGGAAAAUGUUAGGUCCUGGUUGGGAUUCCUCCCUGAUGUAACCAGCAGUGUUUGAGAUGUGGUCAAGUUCAAUCAAAACUUCGAAAGUAUGUUCAAUAGAAGCAAUGUUUUUGAGAUUUUUUGUGAUUUUUUAUGGGGAUUACGACUUUUCAGAUGAUGGGUCGGAACACAGAAGUGACAAUUAUUUUUGUGACGAUAGUUUUGUGCCUGAUUUUGAUGGUUAUUUGGAUGACUGUCAUGGAGUGAGCCCUGGCCUAACUGUAAUAUGUAAUCCGAAAUUAAUGAAGAAGUCUGAAGUGGUGAUUUUUGCAUGUCAAGUUCAGGGCAACGGUACCGAGUCAUCCGUGACCCCAGAAAUGCAACCAUGAUAUGCUUGGGACGGUCAUAGCCUCUACCUUACGAUGCAAAUGCUCAUUUAGCUGGGGAAUACAUAUUCUUUAAACAUUAA